UUUUAAUGAAUCUUAAAAUCUUUAUAUUUUUUUAUACAUGCUGAUAUAGAGCUGGCAAUCCGAGCCAAAACCCGCGGGUUGGCCCGUCCCGUGAAAACCCGCACCCGUCCCGGAUCGUAACUAAACAAGACGGGCGCGGGUUGUAUAAUUAGUGGCUUGUGAAGAAACGUGUUGGCCUGUCCCGUCCCGUGAAACCCGCGGGUAACCCGUUCAGUUCACUAGGCCGCGUGUCACACAAACACAAUGACACGAAAACCACUGAAAACGAAAACCCUCUUCACCAGAAAAAGAAAAGAAAAACUCUCUAACCCUGCAACUCAGAAGCAAUCUCUCGAUCUCUAAAUCUCUCAAAAGAUAACCCAUAAUCAGAAAACCCUAACUCAGAAGCAAUCUCUCAAUCUAUUCAGCAGAAACUCAAAGGAUUAAUCUCUCGAACUCAAUCAGAUCUCACCAAGGGGCAUAACUGCAAUAAUGAAGACUAGCAAGGAAGCAGUAAAGAAGAAGUCGGUCAAGCAGUUGGAAAUAAAGAUGAAAAACAAAGAGAAGACUGAUGAAGCAUCCCUGAUAAAUAACAAGUCCAAAACUGAUAAUGCUGAAGCAGCUGAACCAUCUUCUAAUAUAAUUGCAAAGUAGUUUAGUUUUGCAAUUUUGAGUUUUUGAAUCGAAAUCAAAUGAAUUAGAUGAAAUGAUGAAUGUUAAAUUAAGUACUUAGGUUGGGAA